GUGUUCACUUUGGCAGCACAUAUACUAAAAUUGUAAUGAUACAGAGAUUAGCAUGGUCCCUGCACAAGGAUGACACAGAAAUUAGUGAAGCAUUCCCUAUUUUU
rnacentral:snRNA from 1 species